AUUGAACGCUGGCGGCAGGCUUAACACAUGCAAGUCGAGCGGGGUGAUGGUGCUUGCACUAUCACUUAGCGGCGGACGGGUGAGUAAUGCUUAGGAAUCUGCCUAUUAGUGGGGGACAACAUCUCGAAAGGGAUGCUAAUACCGCAUACGUCCUACGGGAGAAAGCAGGGGAUCACUUGUGACCUUGCGCUAAUAGAUGAGCCUAAGUCGGAUUAGCUAGUUGGUGGGGUAAAGGCCUACCAAGGCGACGAUCUGUAGCGGGUCUGAGAGGAUGAUCCGCCACACUGGGACUGAGACACGGCCCAGACUCCUACGGUAGGCAGCAGUGGGGAAUAUUGGACAAUGGGGGGAACCCUGAUCCAGCCAUGCCGCGUGUGUGAAGAAGGCCUUAUGGUUGUAAAGCACUUUAAGCGGGGAGGAGGCUCUUUUGGUUAAUACCCAAGAUGAGUGGACGUUACUCGCAGAAUAAGCACCGGCUAACUCUGUGCCAGCAGCCGCCGUAA
rnacentral:rRNA from 1 species